UACAGAGGGGGCAAGCGCUGUUCGGAAUUACUGGGCGUAAAGGGCGCGUAGGCGGCCUGUUAAGUCGGACGUGAAAUCCCUCGGCUCAACCGGGGAACUGCGUCCGAUACUGGCGGGCUUGAAUUCGGGAGAGGGAUGUGGAAUUCCAGGUGUAGCGGUGAAAUGCGUAGAUAUCUGGAGGAACACCGGUGGCGAAGGCGGCAUCCUGGACCGACAUUGACGCUGAGGCGCGAAAGCCAGGGGAGCAAACGGG
rnacentral:rRNA from 1 species